UAGGACACACGUACACGCUAGGGGAUUAUUAUAAAAUUUUAGAGCUAAUUGGGCCAAUUAGCAACACAUACGCACACUAGCUAGCUGAUUCAUUGUUGGGCUAAAGCGGAUCGGUUCUAGACUUCUAGUAGCACAAACAUACGCACGCGAUCGAGUCGCAUACGUACACAUACGAGUCCAGCUCAGCACGCCUCUCUCGCUCGUUUUCAUCUCACAUACUAGCACGAUUGCCCUCUUGGAGAUGCGGUGCUGCUGCCGCGCCGCCGGCUGGCGUCUUGGCCGUCACUAGUCGCUUCCGGCGCCGCCGCACGCCGUCGUGGCUCCGUCCUCCUCUCCUCUUCCGAACCCCCACCGUCGCCCCUCUCUUCGUUCACGUGCGCGCGCCCGCGCGGCAAACCCUAGCCCGUGGUUGGCUUGGUCGCCGCCGGCCGCUACCGGCUCUGGCGCCCCUGACUGCUUCCCUUCGUCCACCACGACGCCUCGACAUUCUUCCGCGACCACCUCCCGAACCCUCGCUCGACUUGGCCGUGCUCGGCCACCCGCUGGCCUCCCCGAUGGUGUGUUGCUGCUGCUGCCUCUUGGGAUGGCCGUGGCCUCCCGCAUCUCGAUGCGGUGGUAAGUCUGGUUGGCCCCUCCUUCGUCUACACAUCUUACAAGCUCGGCUACAGCCACGAUUAUAACUCCGGUUAGGUAAUUUCAGGUACUGGCGGCUCUAUUGGUUUGCUACAUAUUGGUGAUGCCCCUGAUUCACUUCUGGUUGAAUUUAAACAGCUAGAUAAAUGUAUGGUUACUUACUAAUUGGUUGUGUUAGUGGGGUAUUGAGAUGCAUUCAUGGACUGCUGCUUAUGUAUGGAUGCUUUAUAUUGAUACUACUGUCUAUGAUUAAAAGAUUAUGCUGCUGGCAUGUUAUUUGCUUGUAGCUGUCUAAUAUGACAGUGAAUAAAUGUUAGCAAUGAUUCCUUGUUGGAACUAGGAAAAUGAUUUGAAUUUAUUUGGUAUGAUUUGCAAGUGCGGCUACUUGUUGGAGUUGUACUGUCCACAUGACAGUUGGUAAUUGGAGAAAUUCAGUUAUAUUUUGGUGUACCUUAUUGGUGAAUUCUCAUAUACAGGAUGCAACUAUUGUUGCCUGUAACUGAUGAGUUGCUGGAGGGUUUACUUGUGAGCUUAUACUCCUGUUUAUAGUGCUCUUGCUGCUGUUGAGGAUUACUAGAUCAUGUGCAUGCAUGAUCCAGUCAUGUUUUUGUGGGAUUUGGAAAUAGAGCAGCAGUAGGUGGCCUUAACUGGUUGCCACUGCUGUUCACAAAAAAAUAUGAUAAGUUCAGAUACUUUACUUGUUGGUUAGUUUGUGGCUUGCCGCUUGUGUGCAGAAUGAAUACUGCACCCUCCUUGAAUAUUUUCUAUGUGUUAGAUAUUAAGCUGAGAAGAACAGAUCCUUGGUUGAUUUCUUUGUCUAGCCUGUGAUGCAAAGGCUGAGGCAAAAUCUUGGAUAAGAACAGAUGCUUUUAUGUGGCUUUUUAUUCUCUGUGAUGAUUCUUGCAUAGCACCUCUAUGCAAUACUGAGAGAAAUAAAUCCUUCCAAUCCUCCUAGGUAAAAAUCUUGUGGAAGGGUAGUGGGAUUUGUUGUCUUUGUAUUAUUCCUUUUUUUCCCCAUAUGUACUCAUGCAAAAAGUAAGAACAGAUAUUGCCUGAUCUAUCUUGUAUUUCUGAUAAAGUUCUACCUGUGGCACUUAUGUAGUUUGAUGACUGGUUCUUCUAGCCCUUCAGAUAUCCUUCUUCUUGUGGAGUUCUAGCUCCUCCCAGCUUCUGGAUCUGCUUCCUAUUGUUGAUCUUGCAGCUCUUGAUCUGUUGGUGGGUUCUGAUGUGAUGUGUUUCUGCAGUUCCUUAUGAACUGCAGAUGCUCAAGUGGUGUACGCUCUGGUGAAGAUUUAGCCAAAUGGUUUGGCUAGCUGUGGUGCUCUUGCUUUUAUAUUACUGGGCUAUUGUCUGUGUGAUCGACAACACAUAGUUGCAUGUGUUGUGUGUGAGCUGCUAAGUAGGCUGCUUCCCCUCCAAGUGCAUGUUGCCAACUUGACUUUCCUUGCCUCACGUGCAAGCCAUUGCUCAACCUUGUACUUAUCCUAUUAUGUCUAUCUUUGGUACUGUUAAGUGAAAAUACUCCUGUUGGCUGCUGUUUCUAUACGGCUUUAGUUAAUGGCCAUUUUGCUUAACUAAGUGUGGAUUUAAAUUCAGUCCUGCUUAUGUACAUGUGGUUAUUAACUAGUGGCUUAGGAUCAUACUGACUUUUCCAUGUCAGUAAUGAUCCAUUAAAACAACUUUGUGGUGCCUCACGGAUUCUAGCUAGAUUAGAGGGAAAAUAUAUUGCCUGUAUUUAGUGGAGCAUCAUGUGUUGCCUUGUCCCUCAGAGAUGGAUCAUCUAAUGAUGCCUUGUGUCCCUGGUUGCCUUCUUGAUCACUGGUUUUUCUAUGAUAAUGCCUUGAUGCUGAAUUCUGAUUUACUCCCUCUAAUCACAAUUUGGGGAUCAAGACUAUUUCUUGACUCCCAAUAGCUAGUUUCUAAAACUAAAAUGUCUCCCUAAAUGCGGAGACAAACAUUUUAACCUUAACACAACAUUUCUUUGUCUUUGUUGUUUCUUUUGCAGGGAAUGAAGAAUAAGGAGAUCAAGAUUAGAUUUAGGGAUUCUUUUUUAUUUCUUUGUAAUCUCCUAUUUCUUUUGGAGCUUGUAAUUGAUUAAGUUAUUAUAAUUCUUAAUGUAAUAUAUAUUUUCUUUCUUUAUCUA